rnacentral:rRNA from 1 species
AGUGAACGCUGGCGCUAGGCCUAACACAUGCAAGUCGAACGGCAACACAGUAAGAGCUUGCUAUUACGGGUGGCGGGUGGCGGACGGGUGAGGAAUACAUCCGAAUCUACUUUUUCGUGGGGGAUAACGUGUGGAAACUUACGCUAAUACCGCAUACUACCUACGGGUGAAAGCAGAGGAUCUUCUGACCUUGCGCGAUUGAAUGAGCCGAUGUCGGAUUAGCUAGUUGGCGGGGUAAAGGCCCACCAAGGCGACGAUCCGUAGCUGGUCUGAGAGGAUGACCAGCCACACUGGAACUGAGACACGGUCCAGACUCCUACGGGAGGCAGCAGUGGGGAAUAUUGGACAAUGGGCGCAAGCCUGAUCCAGCCAUACCGCGUGGGUGAAGAAGGCCUUCGGGUUGUAAAGCCCUUUUGUUGGGAAAGAAAAGCAGCAGGUUAAUACCCCGCUGUUCUGACGGUACCCAAAGAAUAAGCACCGGCUAACUUCGUG